rnacentral:rRNA from 1 species
AGUGAACGCUGGCGGUAGGCCUAACACAUGCCAGUCGAACGGCAGCACAGUAAGAGCUUGCUCUUACGGGUGGCGAGUGGCGGACGGGUGAGGAAUACAUCGGAAUCUACUUUUUCGUGGGGGAUAACGUAGGGAAACUUACGCUAAUACCGCAUACGACCUACGGGUGAAAGCAGGGGAUCUUCGGACCUUGCGCGAUUGAAUGAGCCGAUGUCGGAUUAGCUAGUUGGCGGGGUAAAGGCCCACCAAGGCGACGAUCCGUAGCUGGUCUGAGAGGAUGAUCAGCCACACUGGAACUUAGACACGGUCCAGACUCCUACGGGAGGCAGCAGUGGGGAAUAUUGGACAAUGGGCGCAAGCCUGAUCCAGCCAUACCGCGUGGGUGAAGAAGGCCUUCGGGUUGUAAAGCCCUUUUGUUGGGAAAGAAAAGCAGCAGGUUAAUACCCCGCUGUUCUGACGGUACCCAAAGAAUAAGCACCGGCUAACUUCGUG